UUGGUUACGGGGCUGGCAAUGGGAUGAACAAUUCUGUUUCUCGUACAUUGUGGAGCAACGAUAACAUUCUGAACAAUUCAAACUCUAACGGUUCCAACGCAUUUAUGUACGCCGGAGGUUGGAAUUCGGGGCUGGGGGGCUCCUUUGGCAGUUCUGGAGGAGCCCUUUGGGAUUCGUCCCACAACAUUGGCCAAGGAGGUGGUGGUAAUGGAAGUGGGGACUUUAGUGUUGGUCUAGGAGGAGGAGCAGGUUAUGGAAGAAACAGUGGGACAAAUUUUGCACCGGGGCCAUCUCGUGCUAGCGCCAACGGGGGUUACGAAAGUUCUUACGCUGACAACGUUUAUGAGAACGGUUCGUUUUACGGAGCAGAUCCCUC
rnacentral:lncRNA from 1 species